CAAGGUGCCGGUUGGCGCCACGCCUCCCCGACCGCCUCUGCGCCGGCUACAAAAGGCGCCCAGGCGCGAUCCCCUCCACCCCGCGCUCCGGCCUCCUCCCUCUCUUUCUUUUGAGCCUUCGAUUCGGCAGCGCCUCCGCCCUCGAUCGCCUCCCCGCGUCUCUCUCCGCGACUGUUUCCUUCCCCUCGUCCAUCAAAUCUCGAUUCGUUUCGAAAUCGCGUUUGAUUUUGCUGCUACUACGCUCGUCGCCUCUGCUUCCUGCGCUCGCAGGGGAUUCGGCCCGUCCCGCCCGCCUCCGUGCGACUCCGGGGAGCGAGCGGUCGAUGGUGGAUUCCGUUCAGCCGUUUGGUUUUGCUUCUGCGUCUGAUUUCGAGUGACCCGAGGGAGGGCCGGAGCAGGGUCAGUUCCUCGUGCUCUGUCAGAUCGGUUCCUGGUUCCGCCACCUGCCUGCGUCCGUCGCCGUCAGUUAAUACGAGGUGGAUUCGAGGCCCUCGUGGAUUCUUGUUGUACCGGCUGACCUAGCUUGCUUUCUGUUCGUGGUUAUUUUGAUUGAUUGGUGACAGUCCAACGGUUAUUCUGAUAUGGUCAGAUCUUCUCGGAUGAUCAAGCUAGCUUUCAAUCUCUUAUACCAACCUAGGCUGGAAUACACGACUGCGUUUGGAUAAUACAUCAAAUCCCUCCUAAUUUAGUUUCUUGGUCUGCACUGUACAAUUUAGUCUACUACAGUACAAUUCUGAUUUGGAUAUCUUGCUGCUUGUCCAGAAAUUGGGAUUACAGGGACUGAUGGGAGCCACUCAUCUUCUUGCUGACCUGCGCGUGUUGAUGAUCUCCACAAUUCAAUUAGUUUCCCAACAACUCUGAUUUUCAUUUGUUGCUGGCUCUCUACAAACUGGACUUAACAGGUCGUUGUUCAGGAACUCAAGGCCACCAACCUGAUGCUGAGUUUGCAGUUCUUCUAAAUCUAUCUUCUCAAUUCCUUAACUUAGAUAAUAAUACGAAGAUUUCUUACUAGGCAAUAUUUCAAAUUCAGAUUUAGCUGCAAAGGUGCAAGAAUGAAGCUUCAAACUAGUGGCACAUCCUACAACCGGAAAAAACUUAAAUCUCUUACCCUCUUAUUUUUAUUUGAUUCACCUACAUGUCCAUCUCUGUGAUUUAGGUUUUUGCUUCUGCCCUCCAUGUCGUUGCAGAUUUGUUUUGGCCUAAGACAAUGCUGGUAGUGAGUCUGAAUCUGUUAAAAUCGUCUGGUUUGCCAUCUAUCUGUACUCUUGAUCCCUGCGUUGGUCUUCCUGCCCAUUGCUAUCUGAUAUAUUUAGGAAGUUUGGGCCCACAUGCAAACCUGUGCUUGUGUCACCGUGUCAGGCCAGUGUCUUGACUGUUGGUUCAUUUGUGUUGGCUUCCAUGGGUUGGUUGCAGGACUGGAUCUGGUAUGUGGAGAUCCUUGGGGUAUUGUAUGUCUAAGGGGAUUUGAGGCAGGUCAGAUUCGAAUGGCUAUAUUGCUCAUGUGGUCUUCUGGUUAUCAUCACGAGUUCCAUCAUCAUCAGCUAAUAUGAGGUGGAUUCAGGGUCCUGCUGGAUUCUUAUUGUAGCAGGCUAGCAGCUGAUCUCGCUUUUGUUGUGUGUUUGUGCUCCUUUAGAUGCAGCAGAAGCAAGAGGGUAGUGGUUCCAGGGAGAUGAGUCAAAGGGUGGAGGUUUGGUUUCUGAUAUAUAAAUGGUCAGAUCGUCCUGGAGGACAAUGUUUUGGUGUUCAACUGAAGUUUUGGAUUGCUCAUCAACCUGGAACUUGUGAAGUUGUGAUACGUGUUUGGAUGAUAUCAAAUUCUUGAUCCCUCUGACUUUUAACUUAUUCAUUUGCAAAGUACAAUAAUUUACUCUUCAGAGGUUCUGAUUUGGAUUAUCAUUGGUGGAUCUCCAGAAAUUUGGAUUUGGCUUAGCGGCGGGGGGUGACUUGUCUUCUUCUUUCUGUUCUGCUUUGGAUGAAUCGUUACUUCCCCCAUUUCAUUUAUUUCUCUCCUCGCCUUUUGUCUACGACAAUUCUGAUUUGCAUUUUUUUUUCUAAUCCAUUGGUCUAAUCCAUUGGUGCUUCUUCAGAAAUUGGGAUUGUACGGUUUAGUGGGGACACCUAUCGUCUUGGUGAUCUGCGUUGGAUGAUCAUUACCUAUCAGUUUAAUUUCUUCUUCUCCAGAGUUCAAUUAGUCUCCCAUCUGAUUAUGA